rnacentral:snoRNA from 1 species
UCGCAUCUUUGACAGCCUAGGCACCCUGUAGUGGGACAUCCUGGGUAUAAAAUUAUAGAUGCAACAGUGAAAAGUCCCUGCGCUUUCUGUUAGCCUAGUUCAGUGGCCACGCGGAUUGAAGAGGGGAGAACAUGU